AGAAAUGUCUCUCCGAAGAUCUCCCAGCCUCUUAUGACCACAGAGCAUGAGAAUAGAAAUGCUAAUGUGGCAUUAUGAGUGAGAGGUAAGGACUGUCCAGCCUUCUGUGGACAGGAGGCCUUUUGGGCUGAUUGAAAUGUGUGCAUACAGUAGAACGAAUGCCACCAACGGAUGUUCCCACAGUCGGCACUCAGAGAUGGCCCAGGCAUUGAACCCAGCUGCCAUGUUGUCCAGGCUAGACCAGUGAAUGACUAAAGCUUGUCUGAAAAGAGGCCUUGGAGAAAGGCCAUUCUUGCAGCUCCAGCCCCAGUCCAGUUGAAAUUGAAUGUAGCUACAUGAGUGACCUCAGUCAUAAUCAAUUAAAUCAAAUUUACUUGCAACUGAAGACUAGAAGAACCACCCAGAAGAGCCCACUCAACUCACAGAAUUAGAAGAAAAUAAAUGGCACAGCAGAACAUAGCAAUACAAAACAUCAAUAAGGCUCCAACACAACUAGAGAUGUCUUUUCGCCCCACGUGGAACAGUUGCAAUGGUUUUCAGGAUAUCUCCUGCGGCAGGUUCUUGGUUGUGUUUUCUACAAUAAUGGAAGUUAUACAAAUCUAUAUCUUUCCCUGGCAGAAAGGUAAGUCUUUAUGGGAAGAAGUAUCAAGAGAAGUGACUUCUGUUUUUCUGACCUUUCUGAAUCCUUAGGCUGUGGAGGGGAAAACACACAAACAAAGAAACAAACAAACAACCUUAAAUUCCCUGAGUGAGGUGGAGAUUAUCAUUGGUUUUUUUGACCAGCCAGUAAGUUUUCCAGAGUCUUAAUAAAUCUCUAAUUGUUACUGGCUGCAGAGAACUCUUUUCCUGCUGCUACUUGGUAUUUGGAUACAUGGGCACACUUUCAAACUGUUAUUGGUUGAGUUUCACAGCAUCACACUGAAUUAAGCAAAGCAAAAUAUCUCAAUGGACAGCUCACAUUGCCUACCUCUUUACCCAAAUAUCAGGAACUACUGGAUGAACCACUGGAACCAUUAUUAGGACUGAAGCAUAAAAAUGCCUGUUUGAUUAAAUCAAA
rnacentral:lncRNA from 10 species